UACGGAGGGUGCGAGCGUUGUCCGGAAUCACUGGGCGUAAAGGGCGCGUAGGCGGCCCGGUAAGUAGGGGGUGAAAUCUUGCGGCUUAACCGCAAGGCUGCCUUCUAAACUGCCAGGCUCGAGCACAGUAGAGGCAGGUGGAAUUCCCGGUGUAGCGGUGGAAUGCGUAGAGAUCGGGAAGAACAUCGGUGGCGAAGGCGGCCUGCUGGGCUGUUGCUGACGCUGAGGAGCGAAAGCCAGGGGAGCAAACGGG
rnacentral:rRNA from 1 species